rnacentral:rRNA from 1 species
UAGGGAAUCUUCGGCAAUGGACGGAAGUCUGACCGAGCAACGCCGCGUGAGUGAAGAAGGUUUUCGGAUCGUAAAGCUCUGUUGUUAGAGAAGAACGUUGGUAGGAGUGGAAAAUCUACCAAGUGACGGUAACUAACCAGAAAGGGACGGCUAACUACGUGCCAGCAGCCGCGGUAAUACGUAGGUCCCGAGCGUUGUCCGGAUUUAUUGGGCGUAAAGCGAGCGCAGGCGGUUCUUUAAGUCUGAAGUUAAAGGCAGUGGCUUAACCAUUGUACGCUUUGGAAACUGGAGGACUUGAGUGCAGAAGGGGGGAGUGGAAUUCCAUGUGUAACGGUGAAAUGCGUAGAUAUAUGGAGGAACACCGGUGGCGAAAGCGGCUCUCUGGUCUGUAACUGACGCUGAGGCUCGAAAGCGUGGGGAGCAAACAGG